rnacentral:rRNA from 1 species
UACGAAGGGGGCUAGCGUUGCUCGGAAUCACUGGGCGUAAAGCGCACGUAGGCGGAUUGUUAAGUCGGGGGUGAAAUCCUGGAGCUCAACUCCAGAACUGCCUUCGAUACUGGCGAUCUUGAGUCCGGGAGAGGUGAGUGGAACUCCGAGUGUAGAGGUGAAAUUCGUAGAUAUUCGGAAGAACACCAGUGGCGAAGGCGGCUCACUGGCCCGGUACUGACGCUGAGGUGCGAAAGCGGUGGGGAGCA